rnacentral:rRNA from 1 species
UAGGGAAUCUUCCGCAAUGGGCGAAAGCCUGACGGAGCAACGCCGCGUGAGUGAUGAAGGUCUUCGGAUCGUAAAACUCUGUUAUUAGGGAAGAACAAAUGUGUAAGUAACUAUGCACGUCUUGACGGUACCUAAUCAGAAAGCCACGGCUAACUACGUGCCAUCAGCCGCGGUAAUACGUAGGUGGCAAGCGUUAUCCGGAAUUAUUGGGCGUAAAGCGCGCGUAGGCGGUUUUUUAAGUCUGAUGUGAAAGCCCACGGCUCAACCGUGGAGGGUCAUUGGAAACUGGAAAACUUGAGUGCAGAAGAGGAAAGUGGAAUUCCAUGUGUAGCGGUGAAAUGCGCAGAGAUAUGGAGGAACACCAGUGGCGAAGGCGACUUUCUGGUCUGUAACUGACACUGAUGUGCGAAAGCGUGGAGAUCAAACAGG